UAUAUCAGGCUGAAACAUGAAUGAUGUCCCAGCUAGCACUGUGGAAAUAACAGCUGAGUGGGAUGUGGUUGGGACACAAACAGAGGGAGAAUCAGGUUUCUGAGUCAUGAAGUGCAGGAUUCAGAACCCUCGGAUGGUAUGAACCGGGGAAGAGGGGAGAAUCUUUCAUUUGCAAGCCUGUGAACUUUGAUAUCUUAGGGUCUGUGUUCUGGACUGGGCAUAGACGGUAGAGCAAUGCCAGCUGGGCCUGAACUUACUGCUCACCAGUUUACUCGCUAGCAGCAGCCUUACACCAUGGCGCACUGACUGGCAAUGGGAAGUUGGCCAUCAGUGGCCUGUGGGACCAGGUGGACAAUGAGAAAGUUGGUGCUGAGUCACAGGAGAAGAUCGUAUCAAACAGUACAACAAGGACAAAUGGGAGCUGGGUGGGUGAAGAGAGAGCAGAAUGUCUGGCAAGAACUAAUUUUUCUCUAUCCUUUGGGCUGUUUUCAUCUCUUUAGGCUACUGCUUCUCUUCCCUGGGGGUCUAUCUGAAGAUUCUUUGAACACAUUGCAGACAUUUCCUCCCAUGCUGCCAUUGCGAGUAACCCCAAGGUGAAGCCUCUUGGCAAGAAGGUGCUAGAAUCCUUCAGUGAAGCCCUGAAACACCGGAACAAUCUGAACAACAGGUUUGGGGACAAUCUGAACAACAGGUUUUCCAUCCUGAGUGAUUUGCAGUCACAAGCUUCGUGUAGAUCCUCACAACUUCAGGAACUCCUGGGUAGCAUAGUGAUCGCCUGUACCUACACUUUGGCAAGGAAAUCAUCCCAGCAGUACAGGCUGUUUUCCAGAUGACAUCAUCCCAGCUGUACAGGCCGUUUUCCAGAUAACAGUGGCUCACAAAUACCACUGAGGCCAUGGCCUGUUUCCUCAAGAUCACUGGAAGACUAUUAGAAAAUUAUCUUCUACACAUGGGGAGACAUGCCCGCCUUUAAGAUAGCUUCUGCCUAAUAAAAAAUUCGCUAAAUUUCA